AGACACAGAGGAAACAAGCCGCAUCCCAGAGAGCGACCCGGGGAUGGAAUGGAUCGUCGAGAGAAGAUUUGAAGGCACAAUGGAGGUGGGACAUGGGCACCGGAGAGGCUCUGCCAGGAGGGCCCUCAGCCGGAUACAGCAGGACCACGUGAGCCAGAUGGAGGGCUAGAGGCCAAGGUGCCAUAAUAUACCUCAGAGGGGUGAAGCCACACACUGAGGAAGAGGCUGAAAAGGGGCUGUGAGGGCAGCCUUCGGAGCAUUUGCAGUGAGCCGUGCCAGUAGCGAGGAGUGUGUCAGGGCCGGUGCAUUUGGAGAAGCACCACGGUUAUUUUUUGUCUUUGAAUCUCAGAUGCCUAAGGGAUGACGACAGCCACGUUGGACUCUGGAAGGAGCAGGGCUCCAGACACCCAAGAGGAACGUGGCACCCGAAGAAAGGCCUCAGUGAGCGAUGUAAUUUCCACAGAGAUG